GAACGCGAAAGUUCCCUUCGGGGAGCGAGUAGAGUGGCGCACGGGUGAGUAACACGUAGGUAAUCUACCUUCGGAUGGGGAAUAACAACCGGAAACGGUUGCUAAUACCGCAUAAUGCAGCGGCACCUAAUGGUGACAGUUGUUAAAGCGGGGGAUCGCAAGACCUCGCGUCUGAAGAGGAGCCUGCGGCGGAUUAGCUAGUUGGUAAGGUAAUGGCUUACCAAGGCUACGAUCCGUAACCGGCCUGAGAGGGCGGUCGGUCACACUGACACUGACAUACGGGUCAGACUCCUACGGGAGGCAGCAGUCGGGAAUUUUGGGCAAUGGGCGAAAGCCUGACCCAGCAACGCCGCGUGAAGGAUGAAAUCCCUCGGGAUGUAAACUUCGCAAGAACGGGAAGAAUAAGCGAGAGUUAAUAUCUUUCGUGAUGACGGUACCGUUUGUAAGCUCCGGCUAACUCCGUGCCAGCAGCCGCGGUAAUACGGGGGGAGCAAGCGUUGUUCGGAUUUACUGGGCGUAAAGGGCGCGUAGGCGGUCAGCACAAGUCAGUUGUGAAAUCUCCGGGCUUAACUCGGAAAGGUCAACUGAUACUGUGCGACUAGAGUGCAGAAGGGGCAACUGGAAUUCUUGGUGUAGCGGUGAAAUGCGUAGAUAUCAAGAGGAACACCUGCGGCGAAGGCGGGUUGCUGGGCUGACACUGACGCUGAGGCGCGAAAGCCAGGGGAGCGAACGGGAUUAGAU
rnacentral:rRNA from 1 species